GGAGGAAUUCCCGAGUGGCCAAAGGGGCAGACUGUAAAUCUGUUGCGUUAGCUUCGAUGGUUCAAAUCCAUCUUCCUCCACCA
rnacentral:tRNA from 1 species